UUCAUCCCUGCAUUGUUAGAAGGCAGAGGUUGCUGUAGUUAACUGGGUUUUUUGCUAAUAGCACAGUGUAGCUGAAAGUCAGGGAGCUUCCUUAGGAAGUAGACCACUUCUGCAGAGGUGGGACAUUGUUGGACUAUUGCAGAGUAAUAUAUAUCCUACCAAUAAACAAUAUCCUUGGGUGUGAAGGCAACAUUUUCAGAGUCUGAGGUAAUUUUUAUUGCUGUGAGGACUAGAGGGUCCCUGCUAUGGAUAAAUAUUUCUGGAAGAAGAGCCUCAUUAGAACAGUGGAACAUAGGAUGCAUGGUAGGGAAUAAGAGAAUGGAGCAGUUCUUUGGGACAAUACAGGAUACGAUGGGUUUCUGCAAAACAGACACAUUGUGUCUAUAAUGUGCUGACACAUGUGGGAUAUGAGAUAGAGCAUAAUAUAUGUAAACUUAAAUGCCAAAAGGAAAUGCUUUUUGUGUGGAGUUGACAGUAUUUCAGACAGUCCCUUUGAGACUCAACCAUGGUGAAGUAUUGGGUAUGCCUGAUAGGAAUGUAACCGAGAAUGUCUUUUGCUUUGGGGACAUUAGAAACAUAAAUACAAAGCCUGGCUGAAAAUAGAUUCAGAACACUAUGCUUUUGACUUAAUAGAUGAACUAAAUCUCCCCAUUUCUGACUGUAGAUAGACUGUACAUGUCAUCAAAGGCAUUUGGUUUUCCAGUGCUAAAAAUAUAUUGCAGGACUAGAUGGAGACUUACUUUAAGACGUGGAGUGACAUUUUAUAAAUCUUCACAGUAUGUCAGGCACCCACAACAUUUUUUAGUUGCUUGUUUCAUUUGAGAACGUAUUGUGGAUGUUCACAAAAUGACUGUUGGGGCAGAGAAAGGAUUUUCUACUGACAGAAUGACUGCUAUUCUUUGCUCCGGAGUCCAGACUAUUAGAAUACUACCGCUACCAACUAUUACCCUGUUUCUCCAAGCACCCCUAGUUCACUGCUACUUCUACUAAGCUUUGUCCUUUUUCUGGAUAGGUGGCUAUUUUCAGAUGAAGUUUUGGAGUACAGUAUCAUAAAGAUGAUGCUGAAGGCAGUUCUCCCAUCUCCCAGCCACGUUAAUGCUAUACAAGCAUUUGUGUGCCCAGCUGUAGGAGACAAAGCAAUUUCACCCUGUUUACCAUCUGGCUGGCAUCCAUCCUCUUGGUGGUCUGGCAUCCUGCAUGGUGGAUAGCCACCAUGGAAGGCCUGGUUGGUUUGGCAUCCUUCCUUGAAGGCAAACACAGGAAUAUCGAUACUCUGACACAUUGCCAGCCUCCAUAACAAUAUUAGAAAUAGUUUCAAAACAUAUCCAGCAACUUGGCCUUAAAAUAUGCCCACAGGUUUCAGGAUAGAGCUGCUAAUGGCAGAGAUGUAUUUAAGUGAAAUUAUGUUACCCAGAAUCCCUUUUGCUCAAAACUAUUGACUGCCUUUUAGCACCAUCUCAAAAAAUUGCUCAAUCUUUGCUUGAAAUUCUAUUUGUUUGAUAAGAAAGCCCAAAAUUUGGUAAGGCCCAGUAGAUCCUAGUUUGAGCAACAUGUAUUUCUUCAAGCACAUGAGAAUAAGGUGAUCAGCCAUACUUGGAACCUGAUUCCUGGACUAUUGUUAAAAAAUAAUGUAAUAAAUCGCUUUAGAGAGGAUUAAAAGAAUGUAUAAAUAAAUGGUUCAUUAAAUAUG